CAAUUAGGUAAUAAUUGAAAGGCAGGCAAUUUUGUCCGAUAGAUAAUCGGAAUUGUUCGGUGUUGUGGGGCAGUUUCCGAUGGAAAUAUUCUGAGUACCGCCUGUUACGCUACGAGAUCCUGAGUACCACGACAUAUCGACCGGUUUCGUCCCCCUGGAAACCCUCCACUGUGACGUCAAAGUUGCACGCAAAAAUUAACUACCCCCCAUGGCUUUUUCCCUGGCAGCACGAGCCCAAGAUUCAAGUCUUUUAUGGGUUAACCAGCAACUAGCAGGUCCAAAACCAGACAUUUUCAUUUUUGGACGUACAAAAAUAAAUCACGUCACCAAAAAUAGCUUCAUUUUAAUUGUUAUUUUUAAUCACAAAUCCACUUUUUACUUUUUACAUUAUUUUUUAUUGAUUUAAAAUGAAUACUAUAAGUUUAUAACACUAAUAAACAUUAAGAAAAGGUC